CCUGAUGUAGGUUAAAAAAACCAAUAACUUGUGGAGUUGUAAAUAUUUUGUAAUCAUUAGGU
rnacentral:tRNA from 1 species